rnacentral:rRNA from 1 species
AGUGAACGCUGGCGGCGUGCCUAAUACAUGCAAGUCGAACGAAUUGGCGCACGGGUGAGUAAUAUAUAGUUAAUCUGCCCUACACAGAGGAACAACAGUUGGAAACGGCUGCUAAUACCCCAUAGUGUAGGAUGAGACUAUAUCGUAUCAGCAAGUUGGUAAGGUAAUGGCUUACCAAGGCUAUGACGCGUAACUGGUCUGAGAGGAUGAUCAGUAGAAUUGGAACUGAGACACGGUUCAAACUCCUACGGGAGGCAGCAGUAAGGAAUAUUGCGCAAUGGGGGAAACCCUGACGCAGCAACGCCGCGUGGAGGAUGACACUUUGCGGAGAGUAAACGCCUUUUAUCAGGAAAGCGGUACCUGAUGAAUAAGCACCGGCUAACUCCGUGCCAGCAGCCGCGGUAAUAC